rnacentral:rRNA from 1 species
GGCGCGCCCCGGGCGGGGCGGGGGCACGGGGGGAGGCAAUAACAGGUCUGUGAUGCCCUUAGACGUUCUGGGCCGCACGCGCGCUACACUGACGGAGCCAGCGAGUAUUAGCCUUGGCCGAGAGGUCUGGGAAAUCUUGUGAAACUCCGUCGUGCUGGGGAUAGAGCAUUGUAAUUAUUGCUCUUCAACGAGGAAUUCCUAGUAAGCGCAAGUCAUCAGCUUGCGUUGAUUACGUCCCUGCCCUUUGUACACACCGCCCGUCGCUACUACCGAUUGAAUGGCUUAGUGAGGCCUCCGGAU